AGACAAACUCACCUGAUUCAACUAAUUGAGGGCUUAAUGAUUAGUUAUCAAGUUGAAUCAGGUGUGCUUGUCCAGGGAUACAACAAAAUGUGUGCUUUUGGGGGUACUCGAGGUUGAUUAGUGUCCUACCUUUUUCUGUUUGGUGCUUUUAUGACGCCAGAGACGUGGUGAAAGAAGCAGUUACAAAAUAGAAGUCAUACUGUGUUCAACUGUGUUUGAUCUUGCCGAGCCAUCUUGUCUCAAGAGGACCACAAUGGAAAUAAGUCCCAGAUUUUGUGUGUUAUCCUCCAUGAUUUAGCAAUGGAAAUAAGUCCCAGACUUUGUGUGAUAUCCUCCAUGAUUUAACUCAUGUGCAUGUGUGGCUUUUUCUAGUUUUGUGUGCUUGUUAUUUAAAAUGGUCAAAUUAAUAAACUAACUUAACUUCAGAAAGACUAGACAGAUUUUUGGAAAACUUUGUUUAAACCAAAAAUGAUGUAUGAAAGCCUGAAAGUUUAGGUCUGUUGAAAACUGACAAAGACUAAUGAUUUUGUAGUGCAAUUGACUGUAAAAUAAACGACCACAUUUUUGUGGGUAGAUGUUCUCCAUUUGAAAUUAAGCCCAUAAAGUUGCUGGAAGCCAUUUUAUUUUUGUUCUGCAACAGAGCUGUUUCUGGGAGAUUUCUUGGAGUUAAGGAAUUCUUAUUCAAUUCCCUUUCCUGUUUGAGUUGGGCACCAUUAGUAAGAGGGUGUCUGUUGUACAAUUGCAGAAAUGCAACAUUUCUAAUGAUCUCUCUUCUUAAAACAGAUCCCUCAGUAUCUAUUUUGUCAUUAACAAAGAGUGAGACCAAGCACACCAAUGCACAAACAUAAUCAGCAGCGUAUAUCCUACUUGCGGCUACAGCAUAAACCACAGUGGAUAAAAUGUCUAGUUAAGUACACAAUCAAAAACCAUCCAGCCUAAAGUCUAAACAUGUCACUUUAGUCUAUGGUACACAACCACAAUCAUACAGCUAAUAGAAUGACAGAAAAUUAGCUGCUGGUUAAUGAGCUAAAUUGAAUUUGUGUGUCUAGCUGCACUGCUAUUCCAUAAAGCAUUUGUACGUUUGUAAAUCAUGUUCCCCUUCUUUGUCUUUAUCAUUUGCACAGUUUAUUAUGUAUGAUGAAUAAAGUGUUACAUUUUC
rnacentral:lncRNA from 1 species